GGCUUCCUGGCUGCUGCUGUUUUUUCCCCAUGUGGGAACCCUAGUGCCUUGAGGGUUCCCCUCUAACUCUGUCCUUUCCUGGCUACCUGAGCCCUGUGAAUACCAUCAGUCUGUGUGACAAGUAGUUAGAAAACUACUAAGAAAAUAACUGAACAGGAAAAUGUGGCAGGUUAUUCCUCAUCUGACACACUUCGCGGUACAUUUGGAAAACAGUUUUACCAAUGCAUGGAAUUUCAAUAUGGUAAAAUGCUUGGCUUCCGGCCACCCCCAGAAUACACCCAACACACUUUUGAAGAGUCUCAAAAGUAACCUCAGCACACACAUUUGAUUUGGGAGGGCAGGUGACAGAGACUCAGAACUCCGUGGUACUGUUCCAAGUUCUGCUGCUGACUGACUGUGACUUUUGAUAAAUCGCUACAGCUCCAAUCCUGAAACCUGCUGAGUAUACCCUGGAAAGUGCUGAGCAACCUAAGCUCCCACAAGACCUGGCCCAUAACAAGUCUGUGCUUAUGUGUACUCAUCUGUAUAAUGGCCAUAAUAAUAUUUACCUAACUCAGAGGACUGUUGUGAAACUUAAUUCAUUAAUAUCUGUAAAUUACUUUGGGCCAAAUUAAACCAUUGCUCAGUGGCUUGUGUAGCUGCACCACCCCAUGAUAAGCUCAAAGAGUCACCAUUCGUUCCCUGCUCCCCGGAGAAGUAAUCUGCUACAGUCUUUUGCCAGGCACAGAUGACUUUCCUCAUGCCAGCUCAGCUGGCCAGAAUAUUGGUGGGGUGCCCAGGGAGGGGAGUGCCAGACGUGUAGUUCUUCCUUCCUCCCUUAUGCUGAGAUCCAAAAUGUGGGGAAUGGAGCUGUGUGUGAAUAACGGGGUAGUUCUUAGUUUGCUUGCAAUUAAAAGAAACAAAUCAUUUCGGGUUGAACCAAAAAUGAAUUAAAAAAACAAAUGUUCAGGAAAUUGAAAAGUCAAAAAUCAUUGUUCUGGACUGAACAAAAUGUUUCGUUCACCCCAAAAUGAAAUGCUUCAUUUUGAUUUUGAGCAUUGUUUUACAUUUUUAUGUUAAACAAAUCGAAGGAAACAUUGAAAUUUCAAACCAAGAAACUGGAAUGUUUUAUCUAGAAAAUGAAGCACUCUGACUGUUUUGGAGGUUGUUUUUUUUUUGAGAGAUUGAGGGGAUUUUAGCACCGACACAAAUUCGCCAAAUGUUUGUUGUCACCAAAUCUGCAUUUUUCACACACACACAAAAAAGUUUUGGCUGAGAAAUUUCACCAUGUAAGGAAGCUGACCUUUUGUGGCAGUAUGGUCCAAUGGAUAGGUCACUGGAGUGGGAAUCGGGAGACCUAGGCUCUAAACCCUGUCACUGACCUGCUGUGUGACCUUGGAUAAAUCAGUUAAUCUCUCUGUGCCUCCAU